UAGAUAUGGCUGCUGUAGUAUAAGGAGCUAUUUCUGCAGCAUUGAUGAUUUAUAUUCUUCCCAAUAAGCCCAAAGUGAAUUGCAAAGCCAAACUCAUGAAACCUAUUUUGACAAAAUGUCUGUAAAAUCUGUCCCCCUACCAUACAUGGAAGAGACCUGAGAAAGAGAUUCAUGCACACAUUAAUUCAGAUAGCUAAAUAUGAAUUUAAUAAAGGUGUAUUCAGAAAGGCUUCUUAGGAAGUCAGAAUUUACCAGCACUGCUAUUCAGUUGUGUGAGAUGUUCACACAAACAUUUUUCUUUGCAUUCAAAAUUCUCUAAUAGCUUCAGCAACUUUCAUAUUAAAGAAAAAUUUUAUUAAAGAAAAAAAUUUAUAAUCACAGAAUCAUUAAUGUUGGAAAAGACCUCUAAGAUUAUCGAGUCCAACCAUUAAACUAAACACCACCACGUUCACCAUCAAACCUUAUCCCCAGGUGUCACAUCUACGUGCCUUUCGAACACUUCAGGGAUGGUGAUUCUACCCCUUCCCUGGACAGCUUGUUGAGUGCUUUAAGCUUAUAUUUUUACAUUAUAUUUUACUUGUUGACAUUUUGAUUUGCCCAAUGUCUAACUACACACAUACAUUAAAUUGUCAGCAAAUAAUUAAACCAUACAUUCAAUUGUCAGCAAAUGGAGAAAAUCACCAAAGUCUACUGCUCUGCAAAGUCUUUUACAAGAAAACUGUCUGAUCAGAACCUCUCUGGCUUUAUAUGUGGUUCCUGAACAGCCUGAGUGAAGGAGACCUGAGCACGCACACAGAAACACACACAUCCACUCCAGUCCACCAAAGCAUCUUCCUCUAACACUUCUUGGUCUACCUGCUGCUAUAGUAAAGAUUCAUCUCACCUGUAAGAUCCUGACUUGGGCUUCUCUCUACCACCACGCAAAAUCCCUACAAUACUGACAGGUUGAAAACAUAGCACAUGUUUUCCCAAGCAUGCAGCUACAACACUCUUAUGAAAAUGCUAAGGCAGCUCAGUCACACUGAUUUCAGUGUAACCCUCCAUACAUAUAUGUUGUCUUGGUACCCUUUGUAUCAAAUUAUCACUAUUUUUUCCUCCUUUACUGAAACACAAAUGGAUGGUGUUAUAAAUAGAUCUAAGGAAAUAAGACUCACUUGAUUCUACAGAACAGUUUUCCAAAUAAAUGUAGGAUUGUGUGGGUUUUACUUGCCCUCUCAUACCCUUUGGCAUAAGAGUUUCCAUCUCUACUUAAACCACAGUGCCUUCUCCAAAAAGCCUGUUCCCCAUCGAGCAUCUCUGGGUGCUCUGAGGAGGGUUGCCAUACCAACCAGUGCUUGGCAUUCUGCAGGCAAAGGGAGCACAGUUGACAUAGCAACCAGCCAAAGCAGUUUCUUCCCAGCUUUUCGGGGACAAGUGGUGGUCACUGGCACAGAAGUGAAGCUUCUCAGCAGAAAUGAAGGGAGCAACCAGGCACUCUCAGCAGGUGUAAUACUCUCUGAUCUGGUAGAAGAAAGCUAGCAAGAAGAAGUAUGGUCUUUCACUACAACCCUGAAGAUCUGCCUAUAGAUUGUGUGCUUGGAGAUAUGAAAAGAGAUUAAAAAUUUGGGAUCUACCAGGUGCCCACGAAGGACUUCUCACACUUCUACUUUGCUCUUUCCAUAAAUAUAUAAUCUUACAUCUUUUCUUUGCGUAUCUUGAAUGAUCAAUAAAAAUCUGGAAGAAAAAAACUCUCAGGAAGCCCUAUAAAUUGAUAUUAUUUGUCAUAUUUGUUCAUGUCUUCCUAUUUCUUACACUAUUGAAUGCAUAAGUCUUUUAGCAUCUGCAAGGUGUUCCAGGACAGCCUCUAAAGCUGGGCAUACACAUAUUUGUUUUAAAUACUGCAACCAUAAAUAUACAGCUCUAUGUCCCUCUUACUUACUAUGAUUAAAUAUGGAAACCACUCAAAACAAUUUUCAAUAAAUCUGUAUUUCAAACUGAAAAGUCUACAGUCUUUUUGUCACCACAGAAUUGUAAAAAGACCUUUCUACAGGCACUCUGGAACUUGUAGAUAUUUUUUUAAU